rnacentral:rRNA from 1 species
AGUGAACGCUGGCGGUAGGCCUAACACAUGCAAGUCGAACGGCAGCACAGUAAGAGCUUGCUCUUACGGGUGGCGAGUGGCGGACGGGUGAGGAAUACAUCGGAAUCUACUUUUUCGUGGGGGAUAACGUAGGGAAACUUACGCUAAUACCGCAUACGACUUACGGGUGAAAGCAGGGGAUCUUCGGACUUUGCGCGAUUGAAUGAGCCGAUGUCGGAUUAGCUAGUUGGCGGGGUAAAGGCCCACCAAGGCGACGAUCCGUAGCUGGUCUGAGAGGAUGAUCAGCCACACUGGAACUGAGACACGGUCCAGACUCCUACGGGAGGCAGCAGUGGGGAAUAUUGGACAAUGGGCGCAAGCCUGAUCCAGCCAUACCGCGUGGGUGAAGAAGGCCUUCGGGUUGUAAAGCCCUUUUGUUGGGAAAGAAAAGCAGCAGGUUAAUACCCCGCUGUUCUGACGGUACCCAAAGAAUAAGCACCGGCUAACUUCGUG